UCCUCCUAGUAAAUGAGAGAUACUUAGAAACCCUCUUGACAAGGAUGGAAGAGGCCCUUGGGCCUAAUAACACACAUGCGAGUAAGGCAAAGCCUUAUUUCAUUAUUGAGUGUCUCUCCUUCUUCUAU